ensembl:snRNA U6 U6 spliceosomal RNA
GUGCUCAUUUCAGUAGCACAUAUACUAAAAUUGGAACAAUACAGAGAAGAUUAGUGUGGGCCCUGUCAAGGGUGACACGCAAAUUCAUGAAGUGUUCCAUAUUUUU